rnacentral:misc_RNA from 1 species
GCGGGAAGUGAGUGGCAGUGACGGUAAAAACAACGGGACGUUAGGGGUAUCUCCGUCAUUUUACGUGAAUGGAGAGAGCUGUGGUCCGGCAUUUUCCGGGUCGGGUUCUACUUUAAUGGCCGGAAUUGCAGGUGCGGGUAUGGAUACGGGUAGCAGUGGUUUGUUGGAGGGUGGUGGAGUAGUUGGGCUUGGUGGGCCUAAUAUUGAGGUAUUUUCUGGGCUUGAAAUGGGCUUUACA